GGUUAAGCGACUAAGCGUACACGGUGGAUGCCCUGGCAGUCAGAGGCGAUGAAGGACGUGCUAAUCUGCGAAAAGCGUCGGUAAGGUGAUAUGAACCGUUAUAGCCGGCGAUGUCCGAAUGGGGAAACCCAGUGCAAUUCGUUGCACUAUCGUUUGAUGAAUACAUAGUCAAACGAGGCGAACCGGGGGAACUGAAACAUCUAAGUACCCCGAGGAAAAGAAAUCAACCGAGAUUCCCCCAGUAGCGGCGAGCGAACGGGGAGCAGCCCGGAGUCUGAAUCAGCUUGUGUGUUAGUGGAAGCGUCUGGAAAGUCGCAGGGUACAGGGUGAUACUCCCGUACACUAAAGCACACAGGCUGUGAACUCGAAGAGUAGGGCGGGACACGUGGUAUCCUGUCUGAAUAUGGGGGGACCAUCCUCCAAGGCUAAAUACUCCUGACUGACCGAUAGUGAACCAGUACCGUGAGGGAAAGGCGAAAAGAACCCCGGCGAGGGGAGUGAAAAAGAACCUGAAACCGUGUACGUACAAGCAGUAGGAGCCUCUUUAUGGGGUGACUGCGUACCUUUUGUAUAAUGGGUCAGCGACUUAUAUUCUGUAGCAAGGUUAACCGUAUAGGGGAGCCGCAGGGAAACCGAGUCUUAACUGGGCGUUAAGUUGCAGGGUAUAGACCCGAAACCCGGUGAUCUAGCCAUGGGCAGGUUGAAGGUUGGGUAACACUAACUGGAGGACCGAACCGACUAAUGUUGAAAAAUUAGCGGAUGACUUGUGGCUGGGGGUGAAAGGCCAAUCAAACCGGGAGAUAGCUGGUUCUCCCCGAAAGCUAUUUAGGUAGCGCCUCGUGAACUCAUCUUCGGGGGUAGAGCACUGUUUCGGCUAGGGGGUCAUCCCGACUUACCAACCCGAUGCAAACUACGAAUACCGAAGAAUGUUAUCACGGGAGACACACGGCGGGUGCUAACGUCCGUCGUGAAGAGGGAAACAACCCAGACCGCCAGCUAAGGUCCCAAAGUCAUGGUUAAGUGGGAAACGAUGUGGGAAGGCCCAGACAGCCAGGAUGUUGGCUUAGAAGCAGCCAUCAUUUAAAGAAAGCGUAAUAGCUCACUGGUCGAGUCGGCCUGCGCGGAAGAUGUAACGGGGCUAAACCAUGCACCGAAGCUGCGGCAGCGACACUAUGUGUUGUUGGGUAGGGGAGCGUUCUGUAAGCCGUUGAAGGUGGCCUGUGAGGGUUGCUGGAGGUAUCAGAAGUGCGAAUGCUGACAUAAGUAACGAUAAUGCGGGUGAAAAACCCGCACGCCGGAAGACCAAGGGUUCCUGUCCAACGUUAAUCGGGGCAGGGUGAGUCGACCCCUAAGGCGAGGCCGAAAGGCGUAGUCGAUGGGAAACAGGUUAAUAUUCCUGUACUCGGUGUUACUGCGAAGGGGGGACGGAGAAGGCUAUGUUGGCCGGGCGACGGUUGUCCCGGUUUAAGCAUGUAGGCGGAUGUUCCAGGUAAAUCCGGAACGUUACUAACGCUGAGGUGUGAUGACGAGGCACUACGGUGCUGAAGUGACAAAUGCCCUGCUUCCAGGAAAAGCCUCUAAGCAUCAGGUAACAUCAAAUCGUACCCCAAACCGACACAGGUGGUCAGGUAGAGAAUACCAAGGCGCUUGAGAGAACUCGGGUGAAGGAACUAGGCAAAAUGGUGCCGUAACUUCGGGAGAAGGCACGCUGAUAUGUAGGUGAAGUGGUUUACCCAUGGAGCUGAAAUCAGUCGAAGAUACCAGCUGGCUGCAACUGUUUAUUAAAAACACAGCACUGUGCAAACACGAAAGUGGACGUAUACGGUGUGACGCCUGCCCGGUGCCGGAAGGUUAAUUGAUGGGGUUAUCCGUAAGGAGAAGCUCUUGAUCGAAGCCCCGGUAAACGGCGGCCGUAACUAUAACGGUCCUAAGGUAGCGAAAUUCCUUGUCGGGUAAGUUCCGACCUGCACGAAUGGCGUAAUGAUGGCCAGGCUGUCUCCACCCGAGACUCAGUGAAAUUGAACUCGCUGUGAAGAUGCAGUGUACCCGCGGCAAGACGGAAAGACCCCGUGAACCUUUACUAUAGCUUGACACUGAACACUGGUCCUUGAUGUGUAGGAUAGGUGGGAGGCUUUGAAGCGUGGACGCCAGUCUGCGUGGAGCCAUCCUUGAAAUACCACCCUUUAAUGGCUGGUGUUCUAACGUGGGCCCCUAAUCGGGGUUGCGGACAGUGUCUGGUGGGUAGUUUGACUGGGGCGGUCUCCUCCUAAAGAGUAACGGAGGAGCACGAAGGUCAGCUAAUCCUGGUCGGACAUCAGGAGGUUAGUGCAAUGGCAUAAGCUGGCUUGACUGCGAGCGUGACGGCGCGAGCAGGUGCGAAAGCAGGUCAUAGUGAUCCGGUGGUUCUGAAUGGAAGGGCCAUCGCUCAACGGAUAAAAGGUACUCCGGGGAUAACAGGCUGAUACCGCCCAAGAGUUCAUAUCGACGGCGGUGUUUGGCACCUCGAUGUCGGCUCAUCACAUCCUGGGGCUGAAGUAGGUCCCAAGGGUAUGGCUGUUCGCCAUUUAAAGUGGUACGCGAGCUGGGUUUAGAACGUCGUGAGACAGUUCGGUCCCUAUCUGCCGUGGGCGCUGGAGAAUUGAGGGGGGCUGCUCCUAGUACGAGAGGACCGGAGUGGACGCAUCACUGGUGUUCGGGUUGUCAUGCCAAUGGCAUUGCCCGGUAGCUAAAUGCGGAAGAGAUAAGUGCUGAAAGCAUCUAAGCACGAAACUUGCCCCGAGAUGAGUUCUCCCUGACUCCUUGAGAGUCCUGAAGGAACGUUGAAGACGACGACGUUGAUAGGCCGGGUGUGUAAGCGCAGCGAUGCGUUGAGCUAACCGGUACUAAUGAACCGUGAGGCUUAACCUU
rnacentral:rRNA from 1 species